GUGAGGAAUAUUGCACAAUGGGGGCAACCCUGAUGCAGCGACGCCGCGUGGGUGAUGAAGGUCUUCGGAUCGUAAAACCCUUUUCUGCGUGACGAGGAAGGACGGUAGCGCAGGAAGAAGUGUCGGCUAACUACGUGCCAGCAGCCGCGGUAAAACGUAGGACACAAGCGUUAUCCGGAGUUACUGGGCGUAAAGGGCGUGCAGGCGGUGAAGUAAGUGAGGCGUGAAAGGCCUCGGCUAAACCGGGGUAAGUCGUCUGAGACUGCUUCACUAGAGGAUGGUAGAGGCGUGUAGAAUUCCGGGUGUAGUGGUGAAAUGCGUAGAGAUCCGGAGGAAUACCAGUGGCGAAGGCGGCACGCUGGGCCAUUACUGACGCUGAGACGCGAAAGCAUGGGUAGCGAACGGGAUUAGAAACCCGAGUAGUCC
rnacentral:rRNA from 1 species